ensembl:rRNA 5S_rRNA 5S ribosomal RNA
GUCAAUGGCCAUACCACCCUGAACACACCUGAUCUCGUCUGGUACCUUCUGGUCUCAGAAGCUAAGCAGGGUUGGGCCUUGUUAGUACUUGGAUGGGAGACUACCUGGAAAUACCAGGUGCUGUAAGCU